rnacentral:rRNA from 1 species
GACGAACGCUGGCGGCGUGCUUAACACAUGCAAGUCGAACGGAAAGGCCCUGCUUUUGUGGGUUGCUCGAGUGGCGAACGGGUGAGUAACACGUGAGUAACCUGCCCUUGACUUUGGGAUAACUUCAGGAAACUGGGGCUAAUACCGGAUAGGAGCUCCUGCUGCAUGGUUGGGGUUGGAAAGUUUCGGCGGUUGGGGAUGGACUCGCGGCUUAUCAGCUUGUUGGUGGGGUAGUGGCUUACCAAGGCUUUGACGGGUAGCCGGCCUGAGAGGGUGACCGGCCACAUUGGGACUGAGAUACGGCCCAGACUCCUACGGGAGGCAGCAGUGGGGAAUAUUGCACAAUGGGCGGAAGCCUGAUGCAGCAACGCCGCGUGCGGGAUAAAGGCCUUCGGGUUGUAAACCGCUUUCGCCUGUGACGAAGCGUGAGUGACGGUAAUGGGUAAAGAAGCACCGGCUAACUACGUG